AGCAGCAGGAAAAAGCACAGCCAUUUUAAAGAACAAGAAGGAGUAAAGAGUAACAUAUGCUUUAAAGAAAAGGAAGGAGGCUCAGAUCAAUCCAUUUUAUCAGAUAUCAUGGGCUCGUUUGAUUCGCGGGAAGCAUUUUCCCUCCUAGGAAUAUGAUUCUUGGGAAACAAAUUCCUAGGAAGAAGAUGUCUAGGAAAGUACUUUUAGCAUGUUUGGUUGACCAUGGAAAAGUGACAAAUUUCCAAAAUGCUUAUGUUUGGUUGGCCAUCCACUUUUCUAAGAAAGUUAUGUAUAAUUCCUAUUAUGCCCUUAAUAAAAAUUAGGUCUUUAAUGCCUCNNNNNNNNNNNNNNNNNNNNAUGGGCUCGUUUGAUUCGCGGGAAGCAUUUUUCCUCCUAGGAAUAUGAUUCUUGGGAAACAAAUUCCUAGAAAGAAGAUGCCUAGGAAAGUACUUUUAGCAUGUUUGGUUGACCAUGGAAAAGUGACAAAUUUCCAAAGUGCUUAUGUUUGGUUGGCCAUCCACUUUUCUGAGAAAGUUAUGUAUAAUUUCUAUUAUGCCCUUAAUAAAAAUUA
rnacentral:lncRNA from 1 species